UACGUAGGUGGCAAGCGUUGUCCGGAUUUACUGGGCGUAAAGGGCGCGUAGGCGGUCGUGACAAGUCACUUGUGAAAUCUCCGGGCUUAACUCGGAACGGUCAAGUGAUACUGUCGGACUAGAGUACAGAAGGGGCAACUGGAAUUCUUGGUGUAGCAGUGAAAUGCGUAGAUAUCAAGAGGAACACCAGUGGCGAAGGCGAGUCCCUGGACAAUUCCUGACACUGAGGCAACGGAAAGCCCAAGGGGAGCAAACAGG
rnacentral:rRNA from 1 species